rnacentral:rRNA from 1 species
ACGAACGCUGGCGGCGUGCUUAACCCCUGCCAGUCGCACGGAAAGGCCCUGCUUUUGUGGGGUGCUCGAGUGGAGAACGGGUGAGUAACACGUGAGUAACCUGCCCUUGACUUUGGGAUAACUUCAGGAAACUGGGGUUACUACCGGAUAGGAGCUCCUGCUGCAUGGUGGGGGUUGGAAAGUUUCGGCGGUUGGGGAUGGACUCGCGGCUUAUCAGUGUGUUGGUGGGGUCGUGGCUUACCAAGGCUUUGACGGGUAGCGGGCCUGAGAGGGUGACCGGCCACAUUGGGACUGAGGUACGGCCCAGACGCCUACUGGAGGCAGCAGUGGGGAAUAUUGCACAAUGGGCGGAAGCCUAAUGCAGCAACGCCGCGGGCGGGAUGACGGCCUGCGGGUUGUAAACCGCUUUCGCCUGUGACGAAGCGUUAGUGACGGUAAUGGGUAAAGAAGCACCGGCUAACUACGUG